ACGCUGGCGGCAGGCCUAACACAUGCAAGUCGAGCGGUAGAGAGAAGCUUGCUUCUCUUGAGAGCGGCGGACGGGUGAGUAAUGCCUAGGAAUCUGCCUGGUAGUGGGGGAUAACGUUCGGAAACGGACGCUAAUACCGCAUACGUCCUACGGGAGAAAGCAGGGGACCUUCGGGCCUUGCGCUAUCAGAUGAGCCUAGGUCGGAUUAGCUAGUUGGUGAGGUAAUGGCUCACCAAGGCGACGAUCCGUAACUGGUCUGAGAGGAUGAUCAGUCACACUGGAACUGAGACACGGUCCAAACUCCUACGGGAGGCAGCAGUGGGGAAUAUUGGACAAUGGGCGAAAGCCUGAUCCAGCCAUGCCGCGUGUGUGAAGAAGGUCUUCGGAUUGUAAAGCACUUUAAGUUGGGAGGAAGGGCAGUUACCUAAUACGUGAUUGUUUUGACGUUACCGACAGAAUAAGCACCGGCUAACUCUGUGCCAGCAGCCGCGGUAAUACAGAGGGUGCAAGCGUUAAUCGGAAUUACUGGGCGUAAAGCGCGCGUAGGUGGUUUGUUAAGUUGGAUGUGAAAUCCCCGGGCUCAACCUGGGAACUGCAUUCAAAACUGACUGACUAGAGUAUGGUAGAGGGUGGUGGAAUUUCCUGUGUAGCGGUGAAAUGCGUAGAUAUAGGAAGGAACACCAGUGGCGAAGGCGACCACCUGGACUGAUACUGACACUGAGGUGCGAAAGCGUGGGGAGCAAAC
rnacentral:rRNA from 1 species